rnacentral:rRNA from 1 species
AGCGAACGCUGGCGGCAGGCUUAACACAUGCAAGUCGAGCGGGCACUUUCGGGUGUCAGCGGCGGACGGGUGAGUAACGCGUGGGAACGUGCCCUCUGGUUCGGAAUAACUCAGGGAAACUUGAGCUAAUACCGGAUACGCCCCUUUGGGGAAAGGCUUGCUGCCGGAGGAUCGGCCCGCGUCUGAUUAGCUAGUUGGUGAGGUAACGGCUCACCAAGGCGACGAUCAGUAGCUGGUCUGAGAGGAUGAUCAGCCACACUGGGACUGAGACACGGCCCAGACUCCUACGGGAGGCAGCAGUGGGGAAUAUUGGACAAUGGGCGCAAGCCUGAUCCAGCCAUGCCGCGUGAGUGAUGAAGGCCUUAGGGUUGUAAAGCUCUUUUAUCCGGGACGAUAAUGACGGUACCGGAGGAAUAAGCCCCGGCUAACUUCGUG